rnacentral:rRNA from 1 species
CGGGAAUUUUGGGCAAUGGGCGAAAGCCUGACCCAGCAACGCCGCGUGAGGGAUGAAGUAUUUCGGUAUGUAAACCUCGAAAGAAUGGGAAGAAUAAAUGACGGUACCAUUUAUAAGCUCCGGCUAACUACGUGCCAGCAGCCGCGGUAAUACGUAGGGAGCAAGCGUUGUUCGGAUUUACUGGGCGUAAAGGGCGCGUAGGCGGCGCGGUAAGUCACUUGUGAAAUCUCUGAGCUUAACUCAGAACGGCCAAGUGAUACUGCUGUGCUAGAGUGCGGAAGAGNCAACCGGAAUUCUUGGUGUAGCGGUGAAAUGCGUAGAUAUCAAGAGGAACACCUGAGGCGAAGGCGGGUUGCUGGGCCGACACUGACGCUGAUGCGCGAAAGCCAGGGGAGCAAACG